rnacentral:piRNA from 1 species
CGCUGCUUCAGAGCUACUGAA